GAAGAGAAUCCUCUCCUGAGCUCAGGAUGGGGAUCCUUCUGACCAGGCCAUCUGAGUCGUUCAAAUUUAAUCCAACAGUUGCAAUUAUUAUAACUUUUAGAGGGUUAAAUUUGAACUGCCCAGAUGGGCUGGUUAGGAGGAUCCCCAUCUUGAGCUCAGGAGAGGAUCCUCUUC
rnacentral:pre_miRNA from 1 species